rnacentral:tRNA from 1 species
GCCUGGGUGGCUCAUUUGGUUAAGCAUCUGACUUCAGAUCAGGUCAUGAUAUCACAGUUUGUGAGUUCAAGCCCCGCAUCAGGCU